CACUCUAAGCGGUGGAUCACUCGGCUCAUGGGUCGAUGAAGAACGCAGCAAACUGUGCGUCAUCGUGUGAACUGCAGGACACGUGAACAUCGACAUUUUGAACGCAUAUCGCAGUCCAUGCUGUUUGGGUACUU
rnacentral:rRNA from 1 species